UACCCUACGAUAAAGUGCUAACAAAUGUAUUACUACGUGUGUGUGUGUGUGUGUAUUUACAUUAAGAGGAAACGUCACUUAUUUUCCAGGGAGUUUCAGGUGUCCGUGGAGAGCAAGGGCCACAAGGGGACCCUGGACUGCGGGGCGAUGCUGUGAGUAAAGCUUUUUUAGUAGCCUUGCACAGAGCAUGUAUCACCCUGAGAGAACUAAUUAUGUUUUCCUUAAUAUAACUAUCCGCUAUUCUUUACAAACAGGGGUUUCCUGGUCAUUCAGGGGCUCCCGGGCCAAAGGGUCAAGAAGGCGUCGGAGGCAAGCCAGGACCGCGUGGGCUCAAGGGGAGACCAGGGCCAGUGGGCCUACCGGGGCCACCAGGUCGGAUUAAGGAGUUUUUGUCUGGGGGACAUACAUUAAAGGGUGGAAAAGGAGAUAGGGGAGCUGCUGGGGGAAAAGGCUGCAAGGGGGAACCAGGAGACCCUGGUUAUGCCUAUCUCACCAAAGGAGCAAAGGGAGACAAAGGACAGGAGGGUCCAGAAGGAAAGCUGGGGAAGGAUGGUGAUCCUGGAAUACAUGGAUUUAGGGUACUGUUCUACUAUACUCUAAGUGUAUAUCAAGUGUGUCAUCAUAUUAUUACUACGUCUUUGUGGCCUUUGAAUACAAUAAGGUUUUCUUUAGGGAAGGCCCGGCCUCAGAGGCGACCCAGGAUACCCAGGGACACCAGGAGGGCAGGUCAGUGA
rnacentral:lncRNA from 1 species